GCCUCUAUAGCACAGUGGUAGUGCGUUCCCUUCGUAAGGGAAAGGUCGUGAGUUCAAUCCUCACUGGAGGCA
rnacentral:tRNA from 1 species